CAUCAACUCCGUCCUCCAAAAGGCCCAGCAGAGGAUGUACUUCCUGCGGCUUCUGAGAAAGCACGGCCUGCCACCGGAGCUGCUGAGACAGUUCUACACAGCGGUCGUCGAAUCGGUCCUGUGUUCUUCCAUCACGGUCAGAAGAUACACCAAGUACUCUCCUGCCUGCCUCUCUGAUCACCUUGGCUGCAGUGGUCCAGUCUUCUGGAAGCUCCUCCCGUCCACCGAGAGCCUGUCUCACCUCUUUCCGAAAAGCUGCACAACACUCGUCCUGUCUCAGCUUCCACCACAUGGUUCUCUUCCCAUCUACACCAUGGUAAAAUAAUUUAAACCCUGCCCCUAAACUUCUAGCCUUACUGCCUUUCCACCUGGUCUCCUGGACACACAAUAUAUCAACCUUUCUCCUAAUCAUCAUGUCAACCAACUCCCGAGAUUUUCCUGUCUUAGUCCCAACAUUCAAAGUCCCCACAUUCAGUUCUAGGCUCUCUGUUUUCCUCUUCUCUUUCUGCCGAAGAACCCGCUUUCCACCUCUUCUUCUUCUUUGACUUCGACCCACAGUAGCUGAAUUUCCAACGGCGCCCCACAGGUUGACGGCGCCGGUGGCGGACGUUGUUAACCUGGGCCACGACCGAUCCGGUAUGGAAUUCUUUGGAUGAACGCUCAUAUUUGUUUGGCAAGGUUUUAAGCCGGAUGCCCUUCCUGACGCAACCCUCUGCAUUUAUCCGGGCUUGGGACCGGCCUACAGUUUGCACUGACUUGUGCCCCCCAUAGGGCUGCAUUCCCCAGUGACGUCACUCUAACCGGCAAUUGCCGGUCAAGGGAGCUGCUCAAAUGGCAGAACAAUUGUAGAGGGGAAAGAAAACUCCUAUCAAUUCCGCACGAGCCCGCAUUCAAAAAGGUGGGUAAAUAUACAAAAAUUGUCUUUAAAAAAAAAUUUGGGGGGGAGUUUUGACAGAAACGGCUGCCCGGACUGGCUGCGGUUGGUGUCAUUUGGAUCCAGGGGCUGAAAAAGUUGACGGACAACAUGAGCCUGGCGUGUGGUGACAGAGUGAGAUUGAUACGCGCCUGUUGCAUUUCGGUUCACCAAUCGGAUGAUAUUUGGACACGGUCGGGUCUGAAUAAUGUCGAACCGGAAAUUUGAUUUGCCCCUUUUGCUCCUAUAGUGUUUGCUGUGCGACAUGUUCCCGUCCUCUUGCCCAACGGUGCCGAAGCUUCCGGACUUCAAACCUCUCACGGAUCCCAGUUCUCACUUCGAACAUUGCAUCAGUAUUUGGACAGAUAAGACCGGUGUCAUGUGUGUGUGUUCCGGAUUUUGUCCUCACACACCUGCUCCUGUGAGCAUCUUCACCACCUGUGCCUCGUUCAACCUAAUUAGCCCUCGUAUUUAACCUCGUGCCUCGUUGUCCCUCUCGUUGCCAGUUCGUUGUACCUUGUCGUCGCGUUCCAGCAUUCCUUGUUUCCACGUCACAGACUCACAGUAAGACUUGACCCUGUUCCGAUUAUCGACCUUGCCUCUUUGCCUCAUGUUUUUGGAUACUGUUGCCUUUCUUGGAUUGACCUACGCCCGUAUAUUAAACCUCUCUUUUUGGAAACUGUCCAUUUGUUUUGGAGUCGUGCAUUUUUGGGUCCUAUCCUCUGUUCCGUUCAUGACAACCGGGUCACAUCCCUCCCGUUUAAGGGAGGCAAAUGUUAUUUCUAGAAUAGCUUUACUUGACACCUUGCCGGUUGAAGUGAGGACUGAACUUUUAAAGACCCUGACCUCAUGAAAGGGGGAGAUAGCUUCUUUAAUUGUCAUGUGGCACACCAUUUGAAACUUUUUGUCGACAGAAAACACAAAUCAUCAGAUGAGGUAAAGGACAUGCAGGAGCAACUUUUGAAGCUACAAUUGGCCCAGGCCUGUAAAGUGGCCAUUAAAAAUAAAUCAAUCAAUAAAAAUGGAAGCAGAAAAACAGAUCGAUCCCCUCCAUCCCACACUGUUUUAUGACGAUUUGGUUUCUAGGGAAGCUUUUGAGUCAAUACAGGAGGAAAACUGGAUGCUCAAUAGUAAAGGUAUUUACAUAGGGAAGCAAGGUGUGGCAGCUGCCUCCACCUUGGCGCCAGAGCAGAGUGAGUGGUUUAUGAUGAGUUUGACAUCUUUUCCACACUUUUUCACUUGCACUUGCACGAGGUCAUGAAGCCUGAGAACUGGGACCCAUGGUGAGAAAAUGCCAUUUGGCAAAUGAUUGGCAACAAGAUCAAAUACCCAAUGUGUUGUACUCUCCUCGUACUGAAUGUUUUUGUAUUCAAGGUACCAUGGUGGACGGAGGGGUGAUGGAGCAUGUGACUUUGGCGCGAUUCCAUGGCAGAGAGCUCUCGGACCAUGAGGACGCCGCACAGCUGUUGAGCUCGCUGCCGGACUCACUGUGGUCUGAGGGGUCUGUGUACAUCCGUGACUCCGGUAACAUUCGAGGUAGACCCGACUGCUUUUGUUGACGUGCCGUAGUAUCCUUGUAAACAAGAGGCCAUAGAAGAUAUCGCGGAAACCCAAAUUCUGAAAUCCCCACGCUUUGGUCCAUAAAUGAUGUUAUGAAACUGCGGAACUGCUGGCCAUGUGCAGGGCACUAGAGUUUUCUGAAGGUCAGAGUGUUACUAUUUAUUCAUGGUGCUGAUGCUGCAGCAGAAAAAAGUAGCAGGCUAAUAAAUGGAUAGAUGCUUAGAGAGCAUUUGAAGUGACGGAAGAUUGUGAGAAGCAUAUUAACGCGUACGAUGGCUUUAAACUUGUUUAUGCCUAGAAGAGGAGUCAUGAAAAAUGUGUUAACUUGUGCGUCAGAGGGAAUCAUUUUGGGUUUUUUACGGAAUGGCACACAAGGAAGUGGCAGGAUGGUUGUAAUUGUGAAUGUACCGGGAGGCUGUGAUUUUUGUAAGUGGAUAUACAUCGAAGUUCCUGUUUGGGGCAAACAGAAUUAAGAAAAUGAUGCGAGGGACACCAGUCAACUCAAGACAUCCUUACAAUAUUUAGUUGAUACAGUAUAGUGACUAUGAAUGCAGCAUAGCGAAUGCCACUCUUUUCAUUCACAGAAGUGAAGGAUGGGCCAUAGAGGGGUCAAGGUUGAGUUGCUACUUAUGGUACAUACGAUAUGAGACUGUGCCUCAUUUGCAUCGUGUGCCAGGGAAAUGAUGAGGAGCACAUGUCUUUGAGAAUGACGACGUGAUUUGGUAUGAGGAUUCAUCUGUUUGAUUGUCUCCCCAGAUUCAGCACUAGAGCAGGGAAGACCAAGAGGAUUUUUCCAUCUGUCUGGCAAGCCAAUUUGGAGGAGGGUUAUUUAGUUGCAUUCUGUCUCCUAAAUCAGGUCGAUUACAACACUUUGUGGACAAGCGGAGAGCUACUUUUUGAGCGAAAGGGACACAUUUAUCAGGGAUAGUAUUCUUAGAUUUCUAAAAAGAAGAUAACAUUGUUGCCCCAGUGAUUGGGGACUGGUUCCUUACGGCGGUUGGGGAGGCUUGGUCAAGGCAUUGAUCAUGUGAGACAUAAAGUAAUGAAUGAUACACAAAAGGGGUCAUCGGGAAGCACCAUAUAUAGAUUAAUAAAUACGAGUUAAGGUUGAUUGAGGAAAUAGCAGACAGGAUAAUCUGGGAAGUCCUGCGGUGCCCUGAGCCCUAAAAUAGCCGGGAACUUGCACUAAAAUGUUAAAUGACGGCGAAAAGCUGGAAAGACAAAGAGCAGCUGAAUGGUCCUGCGUCUCCACGUUUACCAAGCGGAUUGGAACAAUAUGAUGAAAAGUCCGUUUCAGUGGGGGACAAAGUGGACACAUCUCGAAGCCAUCAAGGAUGCCGUGUGGCGGAGGUCGGAGUCGGUCGGUGAUCAGUGGCUCGGCGGAAGAUGGUGGGGACACACUUGAGGUCAUUUGGUAAUUGGUAUUAAGCAGGUCACCUGCCCUUGAACAGCAACAAAUGGGAAAGGCUAGGCAGGGCAGAUAUUUAGGAGUUUUCAGUACAAGGAGGGUUACAUUUUACUCAGAGUCAGAAAUCUCCCGAGUCAGUGGGGUGGGCAGAGGCACUCGAUAGGAUUGUGGGAGAAAUUAUGGCUCGAAAUAUUUUUGCCGUUAUGGGAGUAUGAGGUCAUGCAGUCCUCCGAUAGAAUUCCACUUCAAAAUUUAAAUUCAACGUCGGUAGGGGUUGAAAGAGAGAGGUCAGAAAGGAGCAGCCCUCCAACUUGAUUGGUUAAUGAGUCUGGUAGUAGUUUGUUAGCAAAUGCCUCACGAAGCCUCCUACGCUGCACAUGGAAAUAUCGAUGGACCAAGGCCAUCUACUGUAUUGGGGCCCUAGGGGCUAAUAUACAAAGGGGGGCAUUGAUCGAUGAAUUAAUCUGGUCUGACGUGGAAGAGGGUGACUUGAUUUGCGGAUUUGUCAGAUGUAAUAUUGGAAAUUGGGCAAAAGGCAAUGAAGGAUUCCUGAAGACUGGUAGAGGAAUCUUGGGAAAAUUAUGCGCGGUGACGUGGGUGUAAAGACCGACAUACGAGCAAGCCGUUUCUGCUACACUCGGGGAGUAAUCAUCGGAAAUCAGUCGGUACCAGAGCUAUUUUUAAUUCGUCAAUCUAGCAGGAAUAUCGCGGUACUGAGGAGGAAAACCACGGGUAGUGAUUAUAAUAGUGAGUUCAAACCGAUUAACUUUCAAAUACUAGUUACGUGAUGGCAACCAAUAUAUAUUCUGUGCUCAAUGUUUAUGGUUUUGUGUUCAAUGUUUGUGUCGUGUUGAGUAAAAGCAGAAAUGAAGCACCACUGGGUCAAAUUCCCUCAUGUGGAGAAGGCUUUGAUGCACUUUGUGGGGUCAUCUGAGACUAACAUGUUGAUGACGACCGAGGACAUGACGGACAAGUGGGCAAGGUCUACACAGACUGUUGACGAACUGACCUUUGUGACGGUGUACAUAAGGACACGGGGAAGACUCUGCUUGUUGACUCUGAUUUCUGGACAUAACUUUAUUUUUCAGGACGCCCAGGAGGAUGCAGGGUGACGGUGUUGACUUAUUGCAGGUUAUGGGAGUGUUGACUUAACGCCGAUUCUUAUGUGAUUCGUUAUUUAUGGAAAUCAUGUCAAUGUUUGGUGACCAUUGGCGACUUGGCCCUUCUCUAGGAUAUGAAGGCAGGAAUUCUGGAGUCCCGGCAGGAACAUCUUUUGCAGAGGUGUGAUUAAUUUAUUCAAGGACUUGUUUACAGGACUCGUCAGCUGGGCCUCUGCAACGGGUAGAUGACCUGUUUAAAUGUGGAUGGUGGUUUGUAUUCCUGUUGUUGUGUAUUUGCUGGGCGAGUCGCCUCUAGGAACUUGGCUGGAAUGCAUCCCACCCGUAACAUCUACGGCCGGCGGACCGGAGACAGCUGUCGAAGAAGGGCGGCGUGACCCGGAUAAAGUGGACACAUUGAUGCGUAAUGUAUCCCAACGGGAGGUUAGUAGUCCAAUUCUGAACUUUGAUUCAACACUAUACUGAUAUUGGAGGUUGCUAGUUUAUGCAGGUUCAUCACAGGAAGUUGGAUGGAGGAGAGCUGAGGAAGACACUGUGCAUGCAUGACGGGGGGGAUGAUUAGGGGAGCGUGCCAAGAAUCCACCGAAUUGGGUGAGGGGUGGUCUGGAGCUGUUCGGGGUCCCGCGUGGAUAAACCUGGACUCUGGGACCAUUUCAUGGACCGUGAUUACGGACAGCAGUUUCUUCAUCGAUGACACGAGCUGUAGACCAUAUGGAGGGAGACCACCUUUAGGAUUUGUAUUUUGAUUUUGAUAUGUGUGCUUCCACAGUUGUUUUUUGUGUUUUACGCUGUUUUUUGUUCAUUGAUUUCAAUGUUUGCAUUAUUCUGUUGUGUGUGUGGUUUGCCAUCCGAGUCAGGGUCCCUUCGGGUGUUUUGAUGUACGGGGCUCCGAAGGACACUUGAUCUGACUCUCGCUCUUUUCCUCGUCUCGUUCGAGAGAGGUUUUUCGACCGAGAGCCGCGAAACCUUGGCGCUUCCACGAGGCUGCGCGUGCAAAUUGAUACAUUUGGGAUUGGCUCCUUUUUGAUAGCGGGGAGGAGAUUCGGGUCGUUUGGCUGUUUGGUCCGCACGUGUGGCCUCAGGGGGCGACGAGGGGACGGAUGGAUGGAUGGAUGAUAAUAUGACAGUAAGGGUUUAUCAUAUAAAAUAAACAAUCAUAAAAAUAACUAAAAUGCAAAGGAGUAGAAAUAGUUCAAAGGAUGAAAUCAUAAAACAAGUAUUCCCUUUUGAGUGAGCUUUAAGGAGUGAUCAAGUCCCACGGAGCCAUAAUGCCAAUUAAUAAUAAGAUCAUUUGGAAUAUAAGAAUCCCUGGACAGCUGACUAGCUCUCUUCCCUAUCCACGCAAUGUCAAUGGCGGUUCUGUUCGUUACCUUAUUAUUAUAAUCUUUUAGUCUUACCCAAUUACGGAGGAAAAUUCAAAGAUGAAGUACUAUGCAAGUAGCCUGUUGAAUUCCUCCUGCCAGCAUGUCCCUUAUCAUUGCGAGAGAAAAGAGCGUGUGUCUCCCUAUCUCGAGAGAAUAAGGAGCCCCGUUUAUCAUCGGGUGAGGCUUUUAUAACCUUGCUUUUCGGAAACUCCCUUUCCCAAAAUAAUCCUUUUGUUUACAUAUUCUGACACGCCCUCCUCGCUAUUAUUUUUUAUUACCACUUCAGAGUGUCCUGACGUGACCCGAGUGGGAAUAUCUUUCACUUUCACUUUCAGCCUUAUCCUGACUUGACCUCUGAUUUGCUCACCCAAAUAGCUUUCUCAGUCAAUACGUUCGAGCACAUUUCACAUGUCUUGAACUCAACCAAUACAUUUCAUCGCACCAUGUUCAUCUCUAAGCAAUCUGCAAUACAUGUGUAUAUGUUAAAUGUCAAAUAAAUGUAUUAACAUUCAUGUGAAUACAAUUCUCUCAUGCAUUCAA